CAGGUGCGGCUUCAGAUUUGAAUAUCCUGGGGCUCUUCCGUUCUUGAUCCGGGCUUCAGCUCUGAGCCGGAGGUUGGUGUCGGUGUCCGAAGGACCGGCAGGGAGCACACAGCUGCACAGAUUCCUUAAAAGCAAAUGGAAGUCACAGAUGUACAAACAGAGGAAGGAUUUGGGCCAUUUUUGUUACAGUCUGAAGAAAAGUCAAAUAUAAUCUACCAGCACCAAGAUGCUGUGGUUCUCUAUGAUAAAGCAAAGAAGAAUACAAGGAGGGACCGGUGCAGGCAAUUAACAUCAACUGUUAGGACACUGAUUGCAGCUUGCUAAGGAGAGCUGAUAUGGUGAUACGUGCCUGUGUGUGCAGGCAGAGAAACCUCAUGGCAGAGAACAGAAACACCGCACUCACCUCCACAGCUCCCAGCAUUAUUAAAACAAAGAAGCUGCCCAGCUGGGGAGACUGCAUGCAGAAUAUGGUGUGCAAUAACAAACCUUUGUCUGAUCCUCCAGCCAUUUAAAUGUCAGGUAUGUCUUGGAGAAAAAAAAAGUAAUAAUACCUCCCAGCAUUAAUAGUUUGGGACCACAAUGAAGAAGUUGUAUGUAAUUUUCUAUGUUCUUCUCUACAUGUGUCAGUUCCCAGUACCAAGAUUUAGCUUGGUCAUUGCACUUGGCAGUCUUGGCCCACAUCACUGGAAAUUUCUGAUAUAUUUUGUUUCAGGCUCACAGGGAAGGCAACCAUUGCUGAAUUGGUGUAUGUUUGCUCGACAUCUUAAGGCUCUCUUUGAAACCAAGAGAGAGAACUAACCUUUAAUUUAAUCACAUUACUCUGUAUUGUGGAAGCCUGGUGUGACUUGGAUUAAUUGAAGUUCCGGAGAAGGAGGAAGGUCUCAGUGACUCAAUGAGACAAAACUGACCACUUAUGGCUGAAACAAGAAAGUAGGAAAAUGAGAAGAGACUGACACUAAUAUGGUGGUACUUCAAGUACCAUACUAGAUCCGCUUUACUGAGGAGGCUUAGAAGCUUAUCAGCCAAAAUGAAACAUCUAAUAGCAGGUAGAGAAUGAGGCAGAAAGGAAGGAGAGUUUAGAAAGAAAAUAUUGAAAACAUAAUAAAUCUUUAACCUCGUUUACAAGUCAUACCACCUUGUUGUGCUCUCCAUUUGCUGGUUUUGGAGGUACUUUGCAUCUUUAAGCUUUGUGCUACAUCCUCAGGGUAACUUUUUGAACCAAAGCCAGUAUUUUCAUGCAAUGAAGCCUAAGGCUUGAAAGCAAGAAGAACGAAGGCAAACUAAACAGCAAAGGGAAUUUAAGCUAUGAGUUGUGGUGUGCAAAAAAAGAGCAGAUGAAGAAAAUAAUUAAGAGGAAAGAAAUCAAUCAACAACAGAUUCAGUUACUCCCGCAAAGCAAAACAACCAAUAAAUUAACUUGCCUAUGACUCUGUCAUGACUGUGUUUCUGUGCAAAAGGAUUGUUUUUUUGGCUCUGUGAUCAGUUGAAAGGAGCUUUUUUUUUUUUUUUUUUAAGAUGGUCAGAAUUAACAGAAAAAUGCUCCUUUUCAAGAAGAGGGAAUUACAAAAAGAGCCUCCAUCGGAUGUUGGUUAAAUUAUUGUUUCCUGGCAGGCGGGUUUAGGUGGCUCUUCAGAAAACAGAGCCAGAG
rnacentral:lncRNA from 1 species